rnacentral:rRNA from 1 species
CCUACGGGUGGCAGCAGUGAGGGAUAUUGGUCAAUGGGGGAAACCCUGAACCAGCAACGCCGCGUGAGGGAAGACGGUUUUCGGAUUGUAAACCUCUGUCCUCUGUGAAGAUAAUGACGGUACCUGAGUAAGAAGCCACGGCUAACUACGUGCCAGCAGCCGCGGUAAUACGUAGGGGGCAAGCGUUAUCCGGAUUUACUGGGUGUAAAGGGAGCGUAGGCGGCAUUGCAAGUCUGGAGUUAAAGGCAGGGGCUCAACCCCCGGACUGCUCUGGAAACUGUACGGCUGGAGUGCAGGAGAGGUAAGUGGAAUUCCUAGUGUAGCGGUGAAAUGCGUAGAUAUUAGGAGGAACACCAGUGGCGAAGGCGGCUUACUGGACUGUAACUGACGUUAAGGCUCGAAAGCGUGGGGAGCAAACAGGAUUAGAUACCCCUGUAGUC